AAGGUUUUAAGUUAACCCCAAACUCAUAGCCUUCAAAGCUAUAAAUAAGAAUACAAAUUUUUUAAGCCUUA
rnacentral:tRNA from 1 species